rnacentral:lncRNA from 1 species
AUGGAGAGGGCUGAGCUGAGUGCGUCCUAUCCAUCAGGCUCCUGUGGCCCAGGCUGCCCAGGGGAAGUGGAGAGGCUAGGGGCAUUUGAAGCUGGAGAAAGAAGCAUCAGUUUUACUUGGGAGGCCUCCAGGAAGCCUUCCUGGAGGAGGUGGCCUUUCAGUCAAGCCCUAAAGGUUGGGAAACAGCACAGAUGCGGGGGAGAAGCGAGAGGAGAGAAGCUGCCCGAAGCUGCCCGGGCCCUAGAGCCGCCUUUGGAGCCCAGUGGCAGCCUGCUCCACCAUUUCCGAGCCGUGGCCUCAGCUGGGCAGCGCCCCUCCUGGGCGGUGGAGCCCCCCCCCCCAUCUCACAGUACCUGGGUGAGAAUCCAAAGUGUUACGCGCGGAGCAGGCACCUGGGACCCGAGGGUGGUCGGUCAUGGGGUCCCUCCCUCCUUGCGCAUGACGCAGCCCCUGGAGAGGACCCUCCCCCGGCGCGCCCCUGAAUUGCGGGGGGAGGCGGCGAGGCCGGGGCUUCCUGCCCUCGGGGGCGGCGUGGGGGCUCAGCCGCCGCCGAAGCCUGUCUGUCGCCUCCCGCCUCCCCCCGGCGUCCCGCGCCUGCAGCUUUCCCCGAAGACAUUUGGUGUCAGUAUAAGGACGGCUUUGCCUCGCACGCGGCGCGGCUCGGUCUCGCCGCCGCCGCACGUCCCCGCACCGCCGGGCGCUCGGGCUCCUCCGCAGCCCCCGCCGCGCGCAGACCCCGCGCCUCGAGCCCGCGGCCGGAGGCGCGAGCCCAGCCGAGCCGGGACCGGCCCCGACCCCGCGCCGCCGCCGCCGCCGCGCGGUCCUCCCGGGCCCCCGCCCCGCCCCGCCCCGCCCCCGCCGGGUCCCGGCGCCCCCGCCCCCCGGCCCGGCCCCGGCCCCGGAGCGCCGCGCUCCCGCCCGCCCGCCGCCCGCCGCCCGCCGCGCGCUCCAACUCCCGCGCCGUCCGCCGCUCGUCCGCGCCGCCGGCUCCGCGCCGCUGCCCCAGGCUCGCCGCCCUCCCGCCAUGGCCCGGGCCCCGGGGCCCGCCGCCCCCCGCCCGCCGCCCCGCGCGCCCCAGGGGCUCAGCUGAUCCUGAACCGGCGGGGGGCGGCGGCGGCUGGCGGGGCCGGGGUCCCUGCCUCUCCGGCUGCGGGGCACGCGGCGUCCCCGCGCCUCCACCCGGACGACCCCUGCUGCCCUGCCGGGUCCAUGCGCAGGUAG